rnacentral:rRNA from 1 species
GAGUUUGAUCGUGGCUCAGAGUGAACGCUGGCGGUAGGCCUAACACAUGCAAGUCGAACGGUAACAGGUCUUUCGGGAUGCUGACGAGUGGCGGACGGGUGAGGAAUACAUCGGAAUCUGCUCAGUCGUGGGGGAUAACGCAUGGAAACGUGCGCUAAUACCGCAUACGACCUUCGGGUGAAAGCAGGGGAAUCUCUCGGGAUCCUUGCGCGAUUGAAUGAGCCGAUGUCGGAUUAGCUAGUUGGUAGGGUAAAAGCCUACCAAGGCCACGAUCCGUAGCUGGUCUGAGAGGAUGAUCAGCCACACUGGGACUGAGACACGGCCCAGACUCCUGCGGGAGGCAGCAGUGGGGAAUAUUGGACAAUGGGGGCAACCCUGAUCCAGCCAUACCGCGUGGGUGAAGAAGGCCUUCUGGGUUGUAAAGCCCUUUUGUUGGGGAAGAAAAACAACGGGUUAAUACCCCGUUGGUAUGACGGUACCCAAAGAAUAAGCACCGGCUAACUUCGUGCCAGCAGCCGCGGUAAUACGAAGGGUGCAAGCGUUACUCGGAAUUACUGGGCGUAAAGGGUGCGUAGGUGGUUGCGCCAGUCUGUCGUGAAAGCCCUGGGCUUAACCUGGGAAUGGCGAUGGAAACUGUGCAACUAGAGUGUGACAGAGGGUGGUGGAAUUCCUGGUGUAGCAGUGAAAUACGUAGAGAUCAGGAGGAACAUUCGUGGCGAAGGCGGCCACCUGGGUCAACACUGACACUGAGGCACGAAAGCGUGGGGAGCAAACAGGAUUAGAUACCCGGGUAGUCCACGCCCUAAACGAUGCGAACUGGAUGUUGGGUCCAACUUGGGAUUCAGUAUCGAAGCUAACGCGUUAAGUUCGCCGCCUGGGGAGUACGGUCGCAAGACUGAAACUCAAAGGAAUUGACGGGGGCCCGCACAAGCGGUGGAGUAUGUGGUUUAAUUCGAUGCAACGCGCAGAACCUUACCUGGCCUUGACAUGCACGGAACCUUUG